CUUCAUCUCUUCCCACAAUGCUCACACAAAUAUCUCCCCCUCUCUCUCUUUCUCCUCUGUCCUCUUCCCUCUCCCCUCACCGACGGCCGGCCACCGGAGACCACGAACGAGUUUAGGAUGACCGCAUCCCUUUAGCGUGAUCGAAUCCCAAAAGGAUUCCCCUUCCCCCUUUAUUUUAUAGUUUUGAAUCCAGAAACGCGUUUGAGGGUUUAGAAACGAGUUUAGGAUAACCGGAUCCCCUUAGGGUGACCGAAACCCUAAAGGGUUCACCUUCCCGCUCUUCACACGAGCCACCCACAUCUCCGGCGACGAGCUACAUUCGUCAAAAUCCCCAAAUUUCAGAAUCCCCAACCCACUGUCAAAAUGCAUUUUCCCUCUCCCCCACCGACGGCCGCCCACCGCUGAGAGUGGCAGUGAGAGAGAAAGAAAAAAGCCUAUGCGUGUGGUUGAAUCGUCGUCACCGGCUCUCGCAGGCAGGUGGCCGUCGGUGGUAUUGGUCUCUCUGUUCCACUUAAUUUCGUCUCUCUCUCCUCAAAACCAGAAUUGAUGCUCUUUUUGCACAAAAGCAGGAGGAAGACGAAAAUGGAGGGUUAAAGUGGAACGGGGACUACUACCAAGCCUGCCAGCAUCCAAGUAAGCAAGCAUCAUAAACUCCCAAUAAAAAUGAUAAGUAUGCUUUUAUAAAUGACUUCUGUUAACAGUUGGGAGAUCUCGAUCCUUGUCUACAUAAAGGCACAUGCCAGGUUUUAUUUUAAUACCUAACUGUUGGUAUAUGCCAUGAUUAUGAUUAUAAUGCACAUGAAGUACCUUAAUGUUUGGUA